rnacentral:rRNA from 1 species
GACGAACGCUGGCGGCGUGCCUAACACAUGCAAGUCGAACGGAACUGUUUUGAAAGAUUUCUUCGGAAUGAAUUUGAUUUAGUUUAGUGGCGGACGGGUGAGUAACGCGUGAGUAACCUGCCUUCAGGAGGGGAAUAACAUUCUGAAAAGAAUGCUAAUACCGCAUGACAUAUCGGAACCACAUGGUUUUGAUAUCAAAGAUUUUAUCGCUUGAAGAUGGACUCGCGUCCGAUUAGUUAGUUGGUGAGGUAACGGCUCACCAAGACCGCGAUCGGUAGCCGGACUGAGAGGUUGAACGGCCACAUUGGGACUGAGACACGGCCCAGACUCCUACGGGAGGCAGCAGUGGGGGAUAUUGCGCAAUGGGGGCAACCCUGACGCAGCAACGCCGCGUGAAGGAUGAAGGUUUUCGGAUUGUAAACUUCUUUUAUUAAGGACGAAAAAUGACGGUACUUAAUGAAUAAGCUCCGGCUAACUACGUG